rnacentral:rRNA from 1 species
GAUGAACGCUGGCGGCGUGCCUAAUACAUGCAAGUCGAGCGAACAGACGAGGAGCUUGCUCCUCUGACGUUAGCGGCGGACGGGUGAGUAACACGUGGAUAACCUACCUAUAAGACUGGGAUAACUUCGGGAAACCGGAGCUAAUACCGGAUAAUAUAUUGAACCGCAUGGUUCAAUAGUGAAAGACGGUUUUGCUGUCACUUAUAGAUGGAUCCGCGCCGCAUUAGCUAGUUGGUAAGGUAACGGCUUACCAAGGCAACGAUGCGUAGCCGAACUGAGAGGGUGAUCGGCCACACUGGAACUGAGACGCGGUCCAGACUCCUACGGGAGGCAGCAGUAGGGAAUCUUCCGCAAUGGGCGAAAGCCUGACGGAGCAACGCCGCGUGAGUGAUGAAGGUCUUCGGAUCGUAAAACUCUGUUAUUAGGGAAGAACAAAUGUGUAAGUAACUAUGCACGUCUUGACGGUACCUAAUCAGAAAGCCACGGCUAACUACGUG